rnacentral:rRNA from 1 species
UACGUAGGGUGCAAGCGUUGUCCGGAAUUAUUGGGCGUAAAGAGCUCGUAGGCGGUGUGUCGCGUCGGAUGUGAAAGCCCGGGGCUUAACCCCGGGUCUGCAUUCGGUACGGGCAUGCUGGAGUUCGGUAGGGGAGACUGGAAUUCCUGGUGUAGCAGUGAAAUGCGUAGAUAUCUGGAGGAAUACCGGUGGCGAAGGCGGCAUCCUGGACCGACAUUGACGCUGAUGAGCGAAAGCUAGGGGAGCAAACGGG